AGCUUGCUCUUGAUGACGAGUGGCGCACGGGUGAGUAACGCGUAUGCAAUCUACCUAUAACUGAGGAAUAGCCCAGAGAAAUUUGGAUUAAUACCUCAUAGUAUUAUUGUUUGGCAUCAUUUAAUAAUUAAAACUCCGGUGGUUAUAGAUGAGCAUGCGUUCUAUUAGCUAGUUGGUGAGGUAAGAGCUCACCAAGGCUACAAUAGAUAGGGGGCCUGAAAGGGUGAUCCCCCACACUGGUACUGAGACACGGACCAGACUCCUACGGGAGGCAGCAGUGAGGAAUAUUGCACAAUGGAGGAAACUCUGAUGCAGCCAUGCCGCGUGCAGGAUGAAGGCCCUAUGGGUUGUAAACUGCUUUUUUACAAGAAGAAACCUUGGUACGUGUACCAACUUGACGGUAUUGUAAGAAUAAGCACCGGCUAACUCCGUGCCAGCAGCCGCGGUAAUACGGAGGGUGCAAGCGUUAUCCGGAUUUAUUAGGUUUAAAGGGUUCGCAGGCGGAAUUUUAAGUCAGUGGUGAAAGCCUACAGCUCAACUGUAG
rnacentral:rRNA from 1 species